GGUCGUUCGCGAGAACAGCUCCGCAGAGCUCGUGGAUUCCGGGCAGCAACGAAGUGCCACGUGAGCGAGCGGUAGGAAUCUCAUAAGAUUCUGGUCCAAAAUAGCGAGUAGUGACCAAUUCAACUCGUACGAACAAGGCCCAGUGAGAAAUCAUCUCACAGAAUUGUCAAAACGAGACACCGGGGAAACCGCAAGGAGGUUUUUGGCAAGUAAGAUUUGGAUCUAGCCGGAGUUGCCACGACAAAGUCGAUUACAUCGAAACGGGAAGGCUCUCGCAAAGAGGGCCUUCUUAUAUGAGUCGCUUUGCAGAACACCAUUCACGUUCCGAGGUGUUCAGUCGAUCCAGCAGCCAUCUUGGCCCCAAAUAUUUUGCAGCAUUCCUCCGCUCUCCGCCAAUCUCGUUAGCAAUUCAGGCCCAGCAGAAUCAAUCUCCUCCACACGACCUCCAAACACCGAAGAUUCAUCCAAGGCAGUCCGCAUGCAACAUCUCAAGUUAGUGACUGAACGUACAUCGUCUGAGGCAGCGUGCAGUAGGUCGGUGUACGGUAGCAGUGCAUGUGACUACAGCAGCGCGAUCGCAAG